rnacentral:rRNA from 1 species
GGAAUUUUGGACAAUGGGGGCAACCCUGAUCCAGCCAUGCCGCGUGAGUGAAGAAGGCCUUCGGGUUGUAAAGCUCUUUCAGCCGGGAAGAAAAUGCAUGGGUUAAUACCCUGUGCAGAUGACGGUACCGGAAUAAGAAGCACCGGCUAACUACGUGCCAGCAGCCGCGGUAAUACGUAGGGUGCGAGCGUUAAUCGGAAUUACUGGGCGUAAAGCGUGCGCAGGCGGUUUUGUAAGACAGGCGUGAAAUCCCCGGGCUUAACCUGGGAACUGCGUUUGUGACUGCAAGGCUAGAGUACGGCAGAGGGGGGUGGAAUUCCACGUGUAGCAGUGAAAUGCGUAGAGAUGUGGAGGAACACCAAUGGCGAAGGCAGCCCCCUGGGUCGAUACUGACGCUCAUGCACGAAAGCGUGGGUAGCAAACAGGAUUAGAUACCCUUG